rnacentral:rRNA from 1 species
GGGUUGUGAGGUUAAGCGACUAAGCGUACACGGUGGAUGCCCUGGCAGUCAGAGGCGAUGAAGGGCGUGCUAAUCUGCGAUAAGCGCCGGUAAGGUGAUAUGAACCGUUAUAACCGGCGAUACCCGAAUGGGGAAACCCAGUGUGAUUCGUCACACUAUCAUUAACUGAAUCCAUAGGUUAAUGAGGCGAACCGGGGGAACUGAAACAUCUAAGUACCCCGAGGAAAAGAAAUCAACCGAGAUUCCCCCAGUAGCGGCGAGCGAACGGGGAGGAGCCCAGAGCCUGAAUCAGCAUGUGUGUUAGUGGAAGCGUCUGGAAAGGCGCGCGAUACAGGGUGACAGCCCCGUACACAAAAGCGCAUGUGCUGUGAGCUCGAUGAGUAGGGCGGGACACGUGGUAUCCUGUCUGAAUAUGGGGGGACCAUCCUCCAAGGCUAAAUACUCCUGACUGACCGAUAGUGAACCAGUACCGUGAGGGAAAGGCGAAAAGAACCCCGGCGAGGGGAGUGAAAAAGAACCUGAAACCGUGUACGUACAAGCAGUGGGAGCACCCUUUGGGUGUGACUGCGUACCUUUUGUAUAAUGGGUCAGCGACUUAUAUUCUGUAGCAAGGUUAACCGAAUAGGGGAGCCGGAGGGAAACCGAGUCUUAACCGGGCGUUAAGUUGCAGGGUAUAGACCCGAAACCCGGUGAUCUAGCCAUGGGCAGGUUGAAGGUUGGGUAACACUAACUGGAGGACCGAACCGACUAAUGUUGAAAAAUUAGCGGAUGACCUGUGGCUGGGGGUGAAAGGCCAAUCAAACCGGGAGAUAGCUGGUUCUCCCCGAAAGCUAUUUAGGUAGCGCCUCGUGAAUUCAUCUCCGGGGGUAGAGCACUGUUUCGGCUAGGGGGCCAUCCCGGCUUACCAACCCGAUGCAAACUGCGAAUACCGGAGAAUGUUAUCACGGGAGACACACGGCGGGUGCUAACGUCCGUCGUGAAGAGGGAAACAACCCAGACCGCCAGCUAAGGUCCCAAAGUCAUGGUUAAGUGGGAAACGAUGUGGGAAGGCCCAGACAGCCAGGAUGUUGGCUUAGAAGCAGCCAUCAUUUAAAGAAAGCGUAAUAGCUCACUGGUCGAGUCGGCCUGCGCGGAAGAUGUAACGGGGCUAAACCAUGCACCGA